GCAGCAGGAGGAGGAGAGAGGAAGAGCAGGAAACAGACAGCUGCACAAUCAGUAAGCAGAGGCAGGGUCCAUCACAGGGGAAGCUGAGCCAGGGAGCCAAGCUGAGAAAGCCCUUCAGCACCACCUUCCCUGUGUACACUGCAAAUUGGCGUAGCUCUGUGGCUUUCCAUCUGUCGAUAUCCUCCAGCUUUCGAGGUUUUCUGGCAAAGCAACUGGGCAUUGACUUCCUCAAUGACAACAACCUCUCGCUUACCUCAUUUAUUUGACCAGCUGACAUGCGUGUCCUCUGCUGUCCCUUUAUCCAGACUUGUAGGAGUUUCUUCAUGACUCAUAAGCAGGCUGGUCAUUAUAUACAUACACUUCUCUGAUCACACUUGUCACAGCCAUGAUAACCUGUGUAUUGUUUGAUGCACUUCAAUAACUUCUCUGGGGUAAAGCUGCAGCUGUUCUGUGAGUGUGUCCUUGAAAUCAAAAUGUAUGUAUUGCUGUAAGGCUG